rnacentral:rRNA from 1 species
GACGAACGCUGGCGGCGUGCUUAACACAUGCAAGUCGAGCGGUAAGGCCCUUUCGGGGGUACACGAGCGGCGAACGGGUGAGUAACACGUGGGUGACCUGCCCUCAGCUCUGGGAUAAGCCUGGGAAACCGGGCCUAAUACUGGAUAUGACUCCAUGACGCAUGUUGUGGGGUGGAAAGCCUUGUGCGGCUGAGGAUGGGCCCGCGGCCUAUCAGCUUGUUGGUGGGGUGANGGCCUACCAAGGCGACGACGGGUAGCCGGCCUGAGAGGG